AUGAACGCUAGCUACAGGCUUAACACAUGCAAGUCCAGGGGAAACGACAUCGAAAGCUUGCUUUUGAUGGGCGUCGACCGGCGCACGGGUGAGUAACGCGUAUCCAACCUGCCCAUCACUUGGGGAUAACCUUGCGAAAGUAAGACUAAUACCCAAUGAUAUCUCUAGAAGACAUCUGAAAGAGAUUAAAGAUUUAUCGGUGAUGGAUGGGGAUGCGUCUGAUUAGCUUGUUGGCGGGGUAACGGCCCACCAAGGCAACGAUCAGUAGGGGUUCUGAGAGGAAGGUCCCCCACAUUGGAACUGAGACACGGUCCAAACUCCUACGGGAGGCAGCAGUGAGGAAUAUUGGUCAAGGGGCGAGAGCCUGAACCAGCCAAGUAGCGUGCAGGAAGACGGCCCUAUGGGUUGUAAACUGCUUUUAGAAGGGAAUAAAGUGAGAGUCGUGACUCUUUUUGUAUGUACCUUAUGAAUAAGGACCGGCUAAUUCCGUG
rnacentral:rRNA from 1 species